CAGAAAUCAUUAAAAAUGAACUCUGCAAGCAAAGUUGGCGAGAUUUUCCUUGCUGCAGGGAGCUCCUACAGCAAACUUGGGGAUGCCAUUAUGUCUCUGUACAACUGUACAGAUGAACCAGAUGGCAGCAACCCUGCGAAGGAAGGAAUUGAAACUGAUGAUACUUCAAACAAUCAAACUUUUGUUUCCAAACACCCAAUCCAACUCCCAUACUCUCAACACAAGCAAGAAUAGUCGUCCAACACUCCUGACAAGAUUUGUUUAUCUUAAAAUCAAAUUUUUAUAUUUUCUAAUACAAACCCGACCUAACACACAUAGCUGCCUUAUCCCAACUUAUCAACAAUAGCAAUGAUUAAUAUGCAAAAAGAAAUUCAGAACAAUUUUAAUAGCCCACGUUUGGUGAACAACAUCUGUGAACUCACCAAUUCCAAAUUCAUUUUAAAUCAAACAAUAAAAGAAUAUUUAAAGGAAUACUUUUUAAAUUCACUUUGUAUGUGUAACUGAAACUGUAACUGUAACUGCAACUGUAACUGCAACCGUAACUAUAAUUGUAACUGUAACUUCCAAAUCUAGACUUUUUACAUAAAUUGAGAAAUAUCAAAAUUUACUAUUGAUAGAACUAUGUAGUAACUUUUCAACCAUGCAUUAUUUUCAUAAAGCAAUAGCCACUAGACAGGGCAAAAUUUAUUUUUAAAUUCUUUUUUUAUCGUGUGCACUCAAAUAUUUUGUUUACUUUUACUUUGUGUUUUUUUAAAUUUGUAAAUUUGUUAACGAAAAUUAAAGCAUAAAUAUUCGUUAUUUUUUAACUUAAAAAUGACUUAAACUUCUGCAUGUUUAGUAAGUUUUGAAUUUUUCUUGAAUCAGGCAUCAAUGCUGACUACACCAUGUAUGCACAUAUUUAUUAAAGAGACUGUACACCCAUUUCCAAGUGACACUCCAUACCUUGUGUGGCAUUUCGACAAUUUUGUUAACCUUUUCUAUAAGUUCAAAACUAGGUAGAUAACUUUAGUUUUCUAUCUCAAAAUUUUUAAAUUGGUAACUUUUUUCGUUGUUUCUCAAGUCGCUUCUUCUAUCUGAUUCAUAAAGAAUUUUCAGAAGGAAAAACUAGGAUAUCACUUCAUCAUUGAUCAUGACAAAAGUUUACAUCAUGGGUAUCUAGUGAGUUUGAUAUACUAAUGGAGGGUCACUUGAAAUUAAGUGUUCAGUCCCUUUUAAACUAAUUGAUAAUUCCUCAACCAUAAACCAUAUUUUGGGAAAUGUUUAUAAAUUGCUUUUAUCGUGUAUUUAAAUACAACAUUUUACCUUGAA